UGUCGUUCGACUGUUCCUGGCCUUCAGGUUUAUGUGCUUUACAUCUACACCAUAAGCAUGUAAACGAAUGAAAUCAAUGGCAGCUUCAUUGCAGCCUAUAAAACUUAAACAACUUUCAGCAACGGAUCUCUUGGCUCUCGCAUCGAUGAAGAACGCAGCGAAAUGCGAUAAGUAAUGUGAAUUGCAGAAUUCAGUGAAUCAUCGAAUCUUUGAACGCACCUUGCGCUCCUUGGUAUUCCGAGGAGCAUGCCUGUUUGAGUGUCAUUAAAUUCUCAACCAUCCUGUCUUUCUUUCGAGAGGGCGGUGAUGCGUUGGAUGUGGGGACCUGCCUGUUUCUUACGAGACUUCGGCUUCCCUUAAAAGCAUUAGCUAGAGCGCUUCUGUUGACUAGCUGCUAGUGUGAUAAUUAUCUACACUGUGGCCAACGAAGGAAACUCUGCUUCUAAUCGUCUGCUUGCAGACAACUCCUGAUAUCUUGACCUCAAAUCAGGUAGGACUACCCGCUGAACUUAAGCAUAU
rnacentral:rRNA from 1 species